GACGAACCGAGCGAACGUUGUUCGGAAUCACUGGGCUUAAAGGGCGCGUAGGCGGGUGCUCAAGUCCGUGGUGAAAUCCUCCGGCUCAACCGGAGAACUGCCUCGGAUACUGGGCGUCUCGAGUGUGGUAGGGGUAUGCGGAGCUAUCGGUGGAGCGGUGAAAUGCGUUGAUAUCGAUAGGAACUCCGGUGGCGAAGGCGGCAUACUGGACCACCACUGACGCUGAUGCGCGAAAGCCAGGGGAGCAAACGGG
rnacentral:rRNA from 1 species